AGAGUUCGAUCCUGGCUCAGGAUAAACGCCGGCGGCGUGCCUAAUACAUGCAAGUCGAACGAGUGCAGCAAUGCACGAGUGGCGUACGGGUGAGUAACGCGUUGGGAACCUGCCCCCUCGACCGGAAUACCAGGAUGAAAAUCCUGCUAAUGCCGGAUACUGGCUCUGGACCGCAAGGUCCUCAGCUGAAAGGCGGCUUCGGCCGCGCAAGGGGAUGGUCCUGCGUCGCAUUAGCUAGUUGGCGGGAUAAAGGCCCACCAAGGCCGGGAUGCGUAGCCGAGCUGAGAGGCUAAACGGCCACAUUGGGACUGAGACACGGCCCAGACUCCUACGGGAGGCAGCAGUAGGGAGUAUUUGGCAAUGGGGGAAACCCUGACCGAGCAACGCCGCGUGCGCGAUGGAGCCCUUCGGGGUGUAAAGCGCUGUGAUGGGACUGGAACCGCCGCCGGAGGAAAUGCCGGCGGCCUGACGGCCCCUUUAGAAAGCAACUGCUAACUACGUGCCAGCAGCAGCGGUAAUACGUAGGUUGCAAGCGUUAUCCGGAAUUAUUGGGCGUAAAGAGUGAGCAGGCGGCUCUGUAAGCCGGGGGUCAAAUGCACGGGCUCAACCCGUGUUCGUCCCCGGAACUGCAGGGCUAGAGUACUGGAGAGGCAAGCGGAACUCCUCAUGUAGCGGUGAAAUGCGCAGAUAUGAGGAAGAACACCGGCGGCGAAGGCGGCUUGCUAGACAGCGACUGACGCUCAGUCACGAAAGCGUGGGCAGUAAAUAGGCUUAGAUACCCUAGUAAUCCACGCCGUAAACGUUGGGGACCAGGUGGUCGGGGCAUACCCGGCCGCCGAAGCAAACGCAAUGAGUUCCCCGCCUGGGUACUACGUUCGCAAGAAUAAAACUUAAAGGAAUUGACGGGGGCCCGCACAAGCAGUGGAGCAUGUGGUUUAAUUCGUGGCUACGCGGAAAACCUUACCUGGGUUUGACAUCCCGCUAAAGGCCCAAGAGAUUGGGAGAUAGUUAUAGCGGUGAACGGUGGUGCAUGGCUGUCGUCAGCUCGUGUCGUGAGAUGUUGGGUUAAGUCCCGCAACGAGCGCAACCCCCGCCUUCAGUUGCCAUCAUCAAGUUGGGCACUCUGGAGGGACCGCCGGCGCAAGUCGGAGGAAGAUGGGGAUGACGUCAAGUCAUCACGCCCCUUAUGCCCAGGGCGACACACGUGCUACAAUGGCAGGCACAACGCGAUGCGACCGUGCAAGCGGAAGCGGAUCGCUCAAAGCCUGUCUCAGUUCGGAUCGGGGUCUGCAAUUCGACCCCGUGAAGCCGGAAUUGCUAGUAAUCGCGGAUCAGCAUUGCCGCGGUGAAUACGUUCUCGGGCCUUGUACACACUGCCCGUCACACCAUGAGAGCCGGAAAGGCCCAAAAGCGUCUGCCCAACCUUACGGGGGGCGGCGUCUAAGGCAGGUCCGGUGAUUGGGGUUAAGUCGAAACAAGGUAUCCCUUCGAGAACGAGG
rnacentral:rRNA from 1 species